CUUCAUGGGCGGGCCGUGACAGGGGAGCCGUAAGGCUCGCCGGGUUUUGGGAGCGUACUCGGUCUGCUAACCCUGUCAUCGUGCCCGCUCACCCUC
rnacentral:antisense_RNA from 1 species